rnacentral:rRNA from 1 species
CCUACGGGAUGCAGCAGUGGGGGAUAUUGGACAAUGGGGGGAACCCUGAUCCAGCGACGCCGCGUGAGUGAAGAAGUAUUUCGGGAUGUAAAGCUCUGUCGGCCGGGAAGAAAGAAAUGACGGUACCUGACCAAGAAGCCCCGGCUAACUACGUGCCAGCAGCCGCGGUAAUACGUCGGGGGCAAGCGUUAUCCGGACGUACUGGGUGUAAAGGUGGCGUAGACGGUCAAGUAAGUCUGGCAUGAAAGGCCGAGGCCCAACCCCGGGACGUCUCUGGAAACUAUUGAACUUGAGUGCAGGAGAGGUAAGCGGAAUUCCUAGUGUAGCGGUGAAAUGCGUAGAUAUUAGGAGGAACACCAGGGGCGAAGGCGGCUUACUGGACUGUAACUGACGUUGAGGCUCGAAAGCGUGGGGAGCAAACAGGAUUAGAUACCCGAGUAGUC